GAGAGCAAGCUGCAGAGGGAGAGAGGAUGGGAGGCGAGGAGGCGGCCUGAGGGAAGGAACAGGAGGGAAGAGAGAUGAAGGGCAAAACCGGGGCCAGCCAUGCCUGUCCUAACAGCAGCCACCCAGCGGUGGCCCAGCCUGCUGAGAACUAGAAAAUCAGAAGAAAAAGGAGAAUCCACCAGGAGACCCAGGUUCCCAUGAGCAGGGGCCUUUAUCUGAAGUUAAUGGAAGCUAAGCCAGGUCCUGACAAUGUACCUUCUGAUGGGGAGAUGAGACUUUCCUCUGACAGCUAAGGUAACUCUGAAGCGUGAGCUGCCAGAAUUCAAGGCCACCUGCUUAAUAGAAGACAACUAGAAACCUCAUCCAUGAGCAUACUGCUGAGAUGGGGAUGGUUAUCUCUGUUUAACAGCUGAGGACGCUGAGGUUCAGACAGCACUCAGCCACGUGGCUGAGCUGGACUUGAAUUUAAGCCUGUUGGAUUCUGAACCCUAGACUUUGUGCACCUGACCAGGUGCAGACCAUGAAUUACGUGGGGCAAUUAGCCGGCCAGGUGUUUGUCACCGUGAAGGAGCUCUACA
rnacentral:sRNA from 1 species